AAAAAGUGGAGAGAAUGGACAUCGAGGUGAAGAAUCAAGAAGCAUAGAGUCCAUUAGAGAAAAAAAGAAAAGAAAAGAAGAAUGUUUGGAAUUGGAGGAACAACCACAGCCACGACAUGCACAGGCACAUCAGUGAGAUGUCAACCUCUCCUUCCAUUUCGCCGUCGCCGCCAAACUGUAAUACUCAGUUUCAAGAACAACAACAACAACAAACAAAACGAUAUGGAUAGGGUUUUCAAACAAGCGUGGCAAACUGCUAACGAUAAUUUUGAGCGUUUUCUCUUCGAAGCUAAGAAAACUGCCGAACGUAUCGACCGUCGUUAUUCCGUCAAACACCGUCUCUCUUCCGUUGCUUCUGCCGCCGCCGACCGUGCUCGUGAAUUUGAUCGUGAUUUCGAAAUUGGUAUUAAAUACCGUAAUUUCACCUCCGAUUUUGCGUUAAACUGGCCUAAGGUGUUGUGUGGUGUUGGUGUUGGAUACCGGGACAUACCUUCCAUCAGAAGUGUCGGUGCUAAAGAGAUGAUAACAAUAGCAAUUUCGUGUUUUUGUUGUUGUGCUUUUUUGCAGUACAGGAUGCAGCUUAGUAAGUUCAUUGAUAGUCCACUUGGAAGAAGCUUUACGUACUCGCUUCAUUUUCACUGCCGUAUUUCGUGCAUCUGCUCUGUUGCUCUGAUUUGCACAUUUUCUGAGUUCACGUGCUAUAUUGCUUCCCUAAGACAAUUUUCUUCAUCUGGUUUGCAUUCUCUGGCUGGCUCUUUCGGUUCCUGAUUAUUGCGACAUGGGUACUUCCAUUUGCUGGACCUCUUCUAAUUGGGACAUUGGCCAACAGCUUAGUUAUUAAGGGCUCUUGUCCAGCUUGCAAGACGCAGUUUGCAGGUUACAAAAAUCAAAUAGUUCGAUGUUCAAGCUGUGGCAACAUUGUGUGGCAACCUAAAGGUAAAGGAGAUUUCUUUACAAGAGGUGGUAGAAAUAACUCAACAUCUAAGUCAGACCCUAACAUUAUUGAUGUUGACUUUGAGGAGAAAUGAUGAUACAUUAUCGAGUCAGCGAUUCUCGUUCUGGAUUUGACUUUGUAAAACAGAUGGAUAGACAAUGCUCCUAUUCGUUUAUUGUCGCCGGAUUUUCACUUGAUUGAAGUUUGCUCUUACAUUUGUGGUAUAUGAAGCACAUAUAGAGUGGGUUUAAUUGUAAAUCUUUCUUUAUAAUAUGAUGAUAGCAUAGAUGGGAAAGAACAAGAAACAGGAAACAGGAGAAAGAAUAAAAAAAAGUCUAUUCUAAAUGCAUACAGUUUUUGGAGCCAUAUUAAGUUAUGAAAUCAAGAUUUAUGGUAUAUAGGCAGGAAGCAUAAAUUUUGCAUCUGUAUUGUAGAGUCCAACACCCCUCUUCCCCAAAAGCAUUGAGAGACUUUCAAAUUCUCAAGGACUAGCAUUACUCAUUCCCAAUAAUUCAUAUAUUUGAAAAUUAUAUAAUUUUGGAUUGCUUUUACA